rnacentral:rRNA from 1 species
AAAGUCGACGUUGCCGCUAGGCUUAAUACAUGCUAGUCGAACGAGUAAGUUUUUCUUAGGAUUAACAGAAAGUGGCGAACGGGUGCGUAACGCGUAUGCAACCUACCCUUUACUGGGGGAUAGCCCGGAGAAAUUCGGAUUAAUACCCCAUGAUAUUAUUGAGAGGCAUCUGGAGAUAAUUAAAGAUUUAUUGGUAAGGGAUGGGCAUGCGUGGCAUUAGCUUGUUGGUGAGGUAACGGCUCGCCAAGGCGACGAUGUCUAGGGGUUCUGAGAGGAUGAUCCCCCACACUGGUACUGAGAUACGGACCAGACUCCUACGGGAGGCAGCAGUAGGGAAUCUUGGUCAAUGGGCGCGAGCCUGAACCAGCCAUGCCGCGUGCAGGAAGACGGCCUUCCGGGUUGUAAACUGCUUUUGUAUGGGAAGAAAAAGCCCUUGCGAGGGAUAUUGCCGGUACCAUAUGAAUAAGCACCGGCUAACUCCGUGCCAGCAGCCGCGGUAAUACGGAGGAUGCGAGCGUUGUUCGGAUUUAUUGCGUUUAAAGGGUGCGUAGGCGGGAGUUUAAGUCAGUGGCGAAAUUCUUCAGCUUAACUGAGGGGCUGCCAUUGAUACUGGAUUUCUUGAGUAGACCAGAGGUAGGCGGAAUUUAUGGUGUAGCGGUGAAAUGCAUAGAUACCAUAAAGAACCCCGAUAGCGUAGGCAGCUUACCGGAGUUUAACUGACGCUGAAGCACGAAAGCAUGGGUAGCGAACAGGAUUAGAUACCCUGGUAGUCCAUGCCGUAAACGAUGAUUACUCGAUGUUGGUGAUAUAAAGUCAGCGUCCUAGCGAAAGCGUUAAGUAAUCCACCUGGGGAGUACGCUCGCAAGAGUG